rnacentral:rRNA from 1 species
UUGAUCCUGGCUCAGAAUCAACGCUGGCGGCGCGCUUAACACAUGCAAGUCGAGCGAGAAAGUGGAGCAAUCCAUGAGUACAGCGGCGUACGGGUGAGUUACACGUGGAUCAUCUACCUUCUAGUGGGGGAUAACCCUGGGAAACCGGGUCUAAUACCGCAUAAGCCUGUGAAGGGAAAGCAGCAAUGCGCUGGAAGAGUAGUCCGCGGCCGAUUAGCUAGUUGGUGAGGUAACGGCCCACCAAGGCGAUGAUCGGUAGCCGGCCUGAGAGGGCACACGGCCACACUGGCACUGAAACAUGGGCCAGACUCCUACGGGAGGCAGCAGUGGGGAAUCUUGCACAAUGGAGUCAACUCUGAUGCAGCGACGCCGCGUGAGCGAUGAAGCCCUUCGGGGUGUUAAGCUCUUUCGGCAGGAACGAUAAUGACGGUACCUGAAGAAGAAGCUGCUGCUAACUACGUGCCAGCAGCCGCGGUAAUU